UUCAAUAUCUUGUCACGAACUAUUUUAACCAUCUCAAAAGAAGAUUUGCUAGUAAUGCUGUAAACGAGUACAUAGCCAUGGAUUCCAAUGGAAUGCUUAGAAUUUAAGAUACUGUAUUCAUCUUGACCAGCCGUAUCGAUAAUUUCAGUAGCAAAUUCUUGACCCUUAUACUUGAUGUUCUUGCUGAAUGUAUUUUCAAUAGUUGGAUAAUACGAUUCAACGAAAUGGUUUUCAACAUAUUGCACCGUUAAACUAUUUAAAAAAAAUGGUUAGUAAACCUAUUUGCGCAUAAACUUCAAUCAAACGCUUACCUGGACUUUCCAACAGAACGACUGCCAAGAACAGCAAUUCUACGAGAUUUAAUAGGAGCCAUUGUUUAAAUUAGAAAAUUUCAAGAUUAUAAUAUUUAAAAAGGCAAAUUAUUAACUAUAGAGUGAUCGUAAAAAAAAGUGAGUGAAAGCAACGAUGUUGUGGAUGUCACGUUCCCAGCGCGCCGCAAAGGUCAUUUUACCAAGUCACUGCGCAAGUAGUCUUGCAACGAUUUAUGUAGUUCAUCAAUUAUAGAAACAAUGGCUAGUCCAUUAGAACCCAUCAUCAUUAAUUCCUCUUUCAAUUUCAAAUGAAAAUUUUUAAAUUUAUGUAGAGAUUCGUAAAACUGAGAUAUCAAAGGCUUGAGUUGGGCAAACGCUUUGGGAUCAUUUAAAAAGCAAUGGCUUAAAAUCAUUACGACAUAUCCACUAAUUUCUACGAUACUUUCCUACAUUUGUUAGAAAUGUCUUACAACAGAAGUAGUACAACUUACGUUCUUUUGAUAAAACGAAAUGAGGACAUCGAGUGCUGAAGCUCCGAAAGAAACUAAAUAGAAUUAGUAAAAAUAUUAAUAAAA